CUUUAAUUGAGUGCUAAGAGAAUGGACUUUCAAAAAAAUUCUUUCUUAAAUUUAAAAAUUGAAAUUAUUUUUAUUUGUGAAGAAACAAUAAUAAAAAUUAAGGACAAGAAGACCCUAAGAAUUUUUAUAAAUAUAUUGUAAUUUUAUACCAAUGUAUUUAUUUAAUUGGGGCGAUUAAUAAAUAUUUUAAACUUUAAGUAAAAAUCAAUAUGAUCCAUUAAUAAUGAUUAUAUGAAAUAAAUACUCUAGGGAUAACAGCGUAAUAAUUUUGGAUAGAUCAUAUAGAAAAAAUAGUUUGCGACCUCGAUGUUGGAUUAGGAUUCUUAUUUAAUGAAGAAGUUAAAAUAAGAAGUUUGUUCAACUUUUAAAAUCCU
rnacentral:rRNA from 1 species